AACCUGCGGAAAGAUCAUUG
rnacentral:rRNA from 1 species